CCUCUCAUGGCGUAGUGGUAACGCGCCCCAACUAGAGAUCGGGGAGUCGUGAGUUCGAUUCUCACUGAGAGAC
rnacentral:tRNA from 1 species